rnacentral:tRNA from 1 species
GUUUCUGUAGUGUAGUGGUUAUCACGUUCGCGAAAGGUCCCCGGUUCGAAACCGGGCAGAAACA